GACGUAGGGCGCGAGCGUUGUCCGGAUUUAUUGGGCGUAAAGAGCUCGUAGGCGGCUUGUCGCGUCGUCCGUGAAAACCCACAGCUCAACUGUGGGCUUGCGGUCGAUACGGGCAGACUUGAGUACUGCAGGGGGAGACUGGAAUUCCUGGUGUAGCGGUGGAAAUGCGCAGAUAUCAGGAGGAACACCGGUGGCGAAGGCGGGUCUCUGGGCCUUACCUGACGCUGAGGAGCGAAAAGCGUGGGGGAGC
rnacentral:rRNA from 1 species